AGAGUUUGAUCCUGGCUCAGGACGAACGCUGGCGGCGUGCCUAAUACAUGCAAGUAGAACGCUGAAGAGAGGAGCUUGCUCUUCUUGGAUGAGUUGCGAACGGGUGAGUAACGCGUAGGUAACCUGCCUGGUAGCGGGGGAUAACUAUUGGAAACGAUAGCUAAUACCGCAUGAAAUUGCUUAUCGCAUGAUAAUUAAUUGAAAGAUGCAAUUGCAUCACUACCAGAUGGACCUGCGUUGUAUUAGCUAGUUGGUGAGGUAACGGCUCACCAAGGCGACGAUACAUAGCCGACCUGAGAGGGUGAUCGGCCACACUGGGACUGAGACACGGCCCAGACUCCUACGGGAGGCAGCAGUAGGGAAUCUUCGGCAAUGGGGGGAACCCUGACCGAGCAACGCCGCGUGAGUGAAGAAGGUUUUCGGAUCGUAAAGCUCUGUUGUAAGAGAAGAACGGGUGUGAGAGUGGAAAGUUCACACUGUGACGGUAUCUUACCAGAAAGGGACGGCUAACUACGUGCCAGCAGCCGCGGUAAUACGUAGGUCCCGAGCGUUGUCCGGAUUUAUUGGGCGUAAAGCGAGCGCAGGCGGUUAGAUAAGUCUGAAGUUAAAGGCUGUGGCUUAACCAUAGUAUGCUUUGGAAACUGUUUAACUUGAGUGCAGAAGGGGAGAGUGGAAUUCCAUGUGUAGCGGUGAAAUGCGUAGAUAUAUGGAGGAACACCGGUGGCGAAAGCGGCUCUCUGGUCUGUAACUGACGCUGAGGCUCGAAAGCGUGGGGAGCAAACAGGAUUAGAUACCCUGGUAGUCCACGCCGUAAACGAUGAGUGCUAGGUGUUAGGCCCUUUCCGGGGCUUAGUGCCGCAGCUAACGCACUAAGCACUCCGCCUGGGGAG
rnacentral:rRNA from 1 species